rnacentral:rRNA from 1 species
GGGCCCGCACAAGCGGUGGAGCAUGUGGUUUAAUUCGAUGAUACGCGAGGAACCUUACCAAGGCUUAAAUGUAGGAGGACAGGCUGUGAAAACAGCCCUUCUUCGGACUUCCUACAAGGUGCUGCAUGGUUGUCGUCAGCUCGUGCCGUGAGGUGUCGGGUUAAGUCCCAUAACGAGCGCAACCCCUAUCUUUAGUUGCCAGCGGUUCGGCCGGGGACUCUAAAGAAACUGCCCGCGCAAGCGGUGAGGAAGGUGGGGAUGACGUCAAAUCAUCACGGCCCUUACGUCUUGGGCUACACACGGUGCUACAAUGGUAGUGACAAUGGGCAGCCACCCCGCGAGGGG